rnacentral:lncRNA from 1 species
CCAAAACAAACCAAGUACGUCAAAAACCAAAUCAAAGGUCUUAUUAGACCAAAAUCAACACUCCAAGGAAAACAAAUUUCAUCCGAACUUGUUUACCAAUAAUGAUGAACAAAAUUAACCAUUUCAAUACAAAAUCUUCAAAAUGGGGGAAAAACUCACCCAAAACUCUCUUGAUCACCUCUGAAAUCAAGCCAUCUACCUUGACAAGCCAUAAACACAACAAAAAAGCUACAAUAAAG